UGAGGAAUAUUGGGCAAUGGGCGCAAGCCUGACCCAGCGACGCCGCGUGGGCGACGAAGGCCUUCGGGUUGUAAAGCCCUUUUCUACCGGACGAGCAAGGACGGUACGGUAGGAAGAAGUCACGGCUAACUACGUGCCAGCAGCCGCGGUAAAACGUAGGUGGCAAGCGUUAUCCGGAAUCACUGGGCGUAAAGGGCAUCUAGGCGGUCGGGUAAGUCGCGUGUGAAAGCCUCCGGCUCAACCGGGGGAGGACAUGCGAGACUGCUCGGCUUGAGGGUCGGAGAGGGACGUGGAAUUCCCGGUGUAGUGGUGAAAUGCGUAGAGAUCGGGAGGAACACCAGUGGCGCAGGCGACGUCCUGGCCGACACCUGACGCUGAAGUGCGAAAGCGUGGGGAGCGAACGGG
rnacentral:rRNA from 1 species